GUCUUGAUUUUCUUGGUGGUUGUCAACUGGGGCCCACUCUCAGCCACUAGAGGCCAGUCUGAGGUCCUUGCCCCAUGGCUCCCUUCCAUCUGGGUGUUAUUUUAAGUCUCCAAGUUUUUUGUUAUGCAGCUGUAAAAAAUCAAUACAAUCAAGAAUCUUCACCAGAAGAAGUUUCCAUCUCAAGAAACUACUUUCCUUGCUGAUCUGUAAGAAACAACUCUUCAUAGGUAGAAUAUUGUGAUGGGUGCUGUGCAAGAAGAAGGAAGGAAGAAGGAAGCUGAGUGUGCAGCAAAGACACCUGCAGGGACACAUAGAACCAGGCAUUUGCUGAAGGACACCUGGAUUGCACAACCAGCGGCUAACUUGCAUGAAAAAAACAUUCUAGAGUCUGGAGUUGGUUCUGUUGGCCAUCAAUUUCCUGUGGUGCAGAGGUGCUGCAAGUACAAUACAGAUUAAACUCUCUGCAGGAAGUCUCUUAUGGAGACGGGCUCUUGCUGUGUUGUCCAGGCUGUUCUCAAACUCCUGGCCCAGCUUCCCAUUGGGGAUGACAGAGCUGGUGCUCAGGUAAUCAACAUCCUGCUGAGCCUAUGAGAAAGCAUUUGGGACAACUUGACAAUGCAUGGUGUGAAGUUUAAGAAAUCUUGUUCACACAAAUAGGACUAUCUGAACGAAAUGGGACCCCCAUCUCCUGCCACUUCUGGAGAACAAACAACCCAGUGAUUUACCCAUCAUCACUGUCCAGAUCAUUGCACAGGGUGGGUUUAUAUGAUCUGCCCACCCUGAAAACGUGGCUAAGUAUUCCAAUCACAGCUGUUGCCAGUGUUUCCCACCAUUGCUGUAUACUCUUAGUAAAUGGUAGUUGUUAAAAAUAUAAAAUAGGUUUGCUUCAUGAGAAGAAGAAGAAAGUACUUUCUCUUGUAAAGUUCCUUUAAGUAUUGGCAUAGUAAGUGUUCCUUUUCUCAUUGAUACCAUAGUUUUUUACUGUGUUUUGUUUUGCUUUCUUCAGAUUUUAAAGGAAAAAUAAGGUAAUGUUGCUGAUUUUCAGAAAUAUUUUCAGCUUCAGAUAUCUGUGAUAAAAAUGAGAAAAAAGAAGUGGAUCUUCUGUCAGAAGGUAUUGGUGAGAUAGGAGACCCAGAAUAGGAAGAAAACUUAGAUGGGAGAAGCAACUUAGAUGGAGAGCAACUUAGACGGGAGAAGUGAUGAACAUGCGUGAGAAAAAAAGUGACUCUGCUCCCUUUGUGAUCCGGGCGAACAUGACUAACUGAUCCAGGAAUUUGUUUCAUUUGGUCAUGAAUGGGCUUUGCAAAUCCUUCCUAAUGACAUGACAGUGUCAUCUAUUGGCAAAGCAGGACCCUAUGAGGCAUCUAAAGGGAGAUUUGGCCAGAUAUGUUGUUUAUCAGAAGCCAGGUACUUCCUCCACUUUUCAUCCUCCCUACUGAAAUGAUUUUUUUCAGGUCAGUAAUUUAAUAAACAUACCUACUUUGUGCUUAGCACUCUACUCAGAGCUUUUAUAUACAUUAUUUCAUUCUACAUUCACCAAAGUGUAAAGAGAUAGGUGCAUUUCCAUUUUCUAGAUGAGGCUCAGAGAGGUAAAACAAUUUGAACAGGCAGAAAGUUGUAGAAUUAAUUAAGAAUGAUACAUGUUAGACUCCAGAAAGCAUGCUCUUUACCUCUGUAAUUUUACCUCUGUAAUAGAUCAUUCUGUCUCUUCAGUUUAAAUGCAAGGGACAUUAUUACCUCUCUAGAAUUUUACUCAAUUCUAUUGUCUUUCUCCUAAUUUACUUCUUAACUACCUAAUUCUUGAAACAGAUUAGAAGCAGAUAGUAGUGUCCUUAUUUUCUUCUAGGUAUGUCUUUGCAUUAUUAAAGUGUAUCUCAUUCUUUAGAUUGCCUAGUCUUAAAAUCCAGGUGGCUAAGUUAAUUCAAGCAAUUAAUUGAGAGGUAAAAUACUAUAAAACUGAUUGACUAGCAUGACAAGACUCCAUAUAAAAGUAGAUGUAUUUUUUCAUCCAUCUAUUACCUAUUUCUUAACAUUUUCUAGAAAAUUAAGCAGCUACAAUAUACAAAAAUAGAAGAUAGUGUAAAUGUAAAUUAAAAGAUGUAAUAAAGAAUCUACUUUUACCAGGUGUAGUCCCAGCUACUUGGAAGGCUGAGGCAAGAGGAUCACUUGAGAAGAGAAGUUCAAGGCUGUAGUGCACCAUGAUUGCCCCUUGUGAAUAGCCACUGAACUCCAGCCUGAGCAACAGAGUGAGAUCUCAUCUGUAAACAAACAAAACUGCUCCUGAAUUUCAAUGUCAAUUUAUUGUAGAAAUCUUAAAAACUUAAUCAUCCUAAAAUAAUGCUGUUUUUAGGGGCAACACAUAAUUGUGUAUAAUUUCAUGUUUCUUUUGAAGUGAUAAAAAUAAUUGAAACAGUUAUUAAAGAAUAAAGACAUUGUGACAAAGAAAUGACUGGGAACCACAUAAAACAAGAUAUUUUGUAUUUUCAAAUAAUGCUGAUUUUUAGGGCUAACAAGAUUCAGUAGUAGCUUAAUAAACAUACAUACAUUAAGAAAUGCCCUUUGUGAAUUCAAUUUUAUGAUGUUCAAGUACAAAAAGUAUUCAUCCACUGAGACUUUGAACUGUGAAAUGGUCAAUGAAGAGGUAAGCGGCACUUAACUUGAAGCUAAUGUCUCAUGAAAUUGUUCGAACUUCACUCCUUGGUCAUAAGGUUUUCCAGAUUCAGAGCAAGGUAGCCAUACGGCAUUGAUAUUCGAAAUACAAAGCCAAGUAUCGGUUUUAAAAACAGUAUUAUUGAUUUUUUUCUUCUUUUCCAAUUUUCUCUUUUUGAAAUUGUGCUGCUACAAAUUUGAAUUUUAAAAUGUCUUAUUUUUCAAAUUUGUAUUGUUUCAUCUAUUGAAUGGUUUUUACUUUAAGGAAGUUCACAAAGUUUUUAUGUUCUCAGCCAUUCUUUUUUAUAGAAAAUAUCUUAAAAACUGAAAAGGCUCUGAAAGGCUCAGGUGAACGAAAAUAGAAAAAAGAGUAUCUAUCUCACUCUUCUUUUUAAUGCUUCCCUUAGAAAUACAUUGGAAAGAAAACUGUUUAGGUGGUACAAGGCUUCUCCCUGGUUUCAUUUUUCUUGCUUGUAUAGACAAUUAAUUAUUUGUGACAGCAUUAUUUUUACUUUGGAGCCCUGAUUUCCCUCAAUUAUUGGUAUGAUGGAGCUCAGACCUGUGUUUCAGAGUUAAAUAAAUAUUCUUCUAAGAAUUUCCACGUUAUAAAACUCCCCAACCAGCACUAAACUGUACACAUAAAAAUUGUAAAGAUGGUAAAUUAUAUAUGCAUAUUGUACCUUAAUAAAAAAUAAAGAUUUUUUUAAAAAAACAAAUACCUCCUCCCCCACCAAAAAAAAUUUCUUACCCCAUCCACGUACCAGUCACUAGACUCUAACAGUUCAGAAUUCAACUGGUGUCCAAAAGGUUAACAUCAUUACCAAGGUUAAGGAACCAAAUCGGUAUCAUACACUGGGGCCAUGGGGAAGCUUUUGGAACUAGGAUUUCUGAGAUCUUUUUACCAUAUACAGCAGGGAAAUCUUUGUAAAAAGGAGGAAAUUGGUAUAAUAUAUUCUGCUGCUGGCACAAAAAGUAUUUACCAAAGUAAAGUAUCCUGUAGUUCAAAAAUGUUAUCACAAGAUUCCAUUUGUGUAUCUAUUUAAAGUUUUGGUAUAUUUUCAAUAAAAAUUAAUAAAAAUAGUUCUUUUCAUAAUAUGUGGUUUAAAUCCAGAUUAUUUCACUGUAAUAUGUCUUGAUAGAGGUUUAGAAUAUUGAAAUAGGGUAUUAAGAUGCUUUAAAUCGAUUACUGAUUUGAACAU